GGCCUCUGGCAAUUUUUCAUCAUUUCUGGAGUGGUGAUUAACUCCUGAGUCUCGACUAUGUGUAUUUUCUCGUUCCAAAAGUUCCAUUUUGAAGAAUUGAGUCUCCAUGUUCAAUGGGUCUCAAAAUUGAACAUGGAAGACUGGAGACGGGUUGGAGUUCAUUCAUUCUCCAUUUUGGAAGACUGGGAGUCAUGGGGGAUAAGGCCAAGGGUCUUUCAUGUUGUGUGUGACACUUACUCUCUAUUCGCUCUAAAAAAUGUGUUCAUGAAGUUCAUUUGUUCACUUCCAAUUGUUGAUCUUAUGGUGUUAUGGUGCUAUUUACUACACACGAUCAUUUGGCGGCUUCAAUUAUUCACUUUUUUCAUUAGCUCAAUCAAAAGUUUUACAACAGAUGGAAUUGAACUUUGUGUAGUUAAUAAGUUUUGUUUUUCUUAUUUUUGUAGCUUUUUGUAUGUUUUCCCUUGCUUGGUUUUGUGGGGUGGGCCAGUUUGUGCAAUGAUUCUAGCUUCUGUUAUUACCUGAUAGUAUGACGACCUUUUAUAUAAUUCAGGUCGAGGAAUUGCGUGCAGAAAGUCAGCAAUCAUCAGAGUCAUCAGGCAUAAUUGGAUGCUCCAGGGGCGCUUCAAUAGCAUCUUCUCACCAGCAAAUAUCUGUCACAGUGGUGACGGAAUUCGUACUUGAAAUGAAUAAGCAGUUUCAAGAUGUACUUUAUUUUCAUCACAGGUAAGUCAGUAUACAACAGAUGGGCUUGAACGAGCCAGAGACAGCCUUACUAAAGCAGUUGCUCCCUUCGCUACUAUUGCACAGACAAGCUUUAGGGAGUAUGCGUUAGCAGGGGUUGCAUUAGCUUGCGGGAGGCUGAUACUUAUGUAUAUGAAACCCUUAAUCAAACUUAUGCAACCUACUGUUGUCACACUCAUCUACUUUUAUGAUUUAAGAAAUAUUCAAAAUCGUUCUCUUCAACGGG